CACAGGAAAAUGCUGGGCUUCGGGUUCCUCUCAGCACCCACCUUAAUGGCUGGGUGUCUGGGGCCCAAAGUAGGGCUACCAUUCCUCCUUCAGCACCUUGUCACCUGAGAGAUGCUUUUCCUCUUUUGCCACAUACCCACAGGCAUAACUCUAUUUUUUGUGAGACAAUAAACAUCCUUGUCCUAAAUCCUGGUGGAACCAUUGGAGAGCAUGUCGUAUCAUGGGAUGUGAUACAUUCUUUGCUCUUGAGGUUUCUACCUGGCCAACUCUGUCAAUCUGCCCUCAGUACAUUUGGUACUUACAGCCUCAGGGAGUGGGUGACUCAGCAGAAACUGAGCAAAGGCGUGUCUGCUCUUGGCUUUGGAGUUUCAACAUCUUCGGCCUCAGGGGGAGGCAUAAAUAAUAGAUGUGGGAGAAAGGUUGGGAAGAAGGAAGAUUCUGGACCAGGCGAUGGAAAGGAUUCCCCUGGUUCCUUCUCCAGAGGGAGAAGGGAGAGAGAUGGAGACUCACAGAAUAUUAGGCCACUGAUUUCAAUGCUAAUCUCUUCUGGAAACUCCUUCACAGGGACGCUCCAGGUCCCUAUCAAGUUGACAUGGAACAAUAACCACCACAAGGGUCUCCCCUGUGGCAGGUGGCUGCCAUAUUGAAUGCACAUCUCUGGCUUUUGCACUGAGGUGUCCACAGCCGCUCCUCAGUUUCCCUCCCUGAGAAGGAGUGUGGAACAUAAAGCUAGAAGGAGACGGAGUCCUGCCUCCAGUUUGCUGUGUGACCUUGGGUAAGUCUCUUGACUUCUCUAAGCGUUUCUUAACAGUCAUCCCCUUCCAUUAAAUAAACCCUGUGCCUCCACUCCCCGUGCUCCGUGGGAGGCUUUGGGAGUGGCUAGAGCUUUGUUGGGGGGGGGGAGGUUUGGGAGAUGCUAACACAGAUUGAGCCCUUACUACGUGCCAGGUGCUAUUGGGAGCUCUCAACCUUCACCCUCUCCUUGGACCCUCAUGGUAACUUUGUGGGGUAGGUGCUAUGUCACCUCCUCAUAUGGCAAAACUGAGACACACAGAGCUGUGAAGAAACUUGCCCAAGGUUGCCUGGGCAGGAAGGGGCAGCACUGGGAUUUGAACCCAGGAUUUCUGGCCAUAGGGUAAGUUCUUGCAUCACCUCUUUUCACCUCUAAUGAGUAGAGAGGCAAUGGUGAGCACUGGGAAGAGA
rnacentral:lncRNA from 9 species